GGGUCCGUGGUGUAGUAGUGGUUGUCACAUCUGCUUCACACGCAGAAGGCCGCCGGUUCGAUCCCGGCCGGAAUCA